AUUAACUUUCGCACGUGCUCAUCUUCUUUGUGUCUCCAAAGCCACCGAGCCCUUCGCCCCUUUCGAUCUGUCUCUGCUCGGGAACGGAGGUUGGUUCGAUGAUCGCGAAGACGGAGGAGGUAUGUGCGCUGCUUCCUCCAGUAUUGCCUUGUGGUUUGAGGGUGGGAGCUGACGGAACCAAUCAGAGGGACGAGGAGGGUGAUCAUUUGCCCCUGUAUGCCAACGAGGUCCGUCGCAUGUUGAUUUCCUUUCCAUUCUUGCCACAUUGUCGCUUUGGGCUUUACUCAUAGUUUGUCAUUUAGGUUCGUAUUUGGUGUAGCAACAUAUGAGUAGCAAAAAUGAUAAGUAGAAGUAAUCAGAUCCUAUGAACUAGCAGACUGGAUUGAAGCAGAAUGAUCUUUGACAAUGGUUACUUGA